GAUGAACGCUGGCGGCGUGCCUAAUACAUGCAAGUCGAGCGAACAGACGAGGAGCUUGCUCCUCUGACGUUAGCGGCGGACGGGUGAGUAACACGUGGAUAACCUACCUAUAAGACUGGGAUAACUUCGGGAAACCGGAGCUAAUACCGGAUAAUAUAUUGAACCGCAUGGUUCAAUAGUGAAAGACGGUUUUGCUGUCACUUAUAGAUGGAUCCGCGCCGCAUUAGCUAGUUGGUAAGGUAACGGCUUACCAAGGCAACGAUGCGUAGCCGACCUGAGAGGGUGAUCGGCCACACUGGAACUGAGACACGGUCCAGACCCCUACGGGAGGCAGCAGGAGGGAAUCUUCCGCAAUGGGCGAAAGCCUGACGGAGCAACGCCGGGGGAGUGAUGAAGGUCUUCGGAUCGUAAAACCCUGUUAUUAGGGAAGAAAAAAUGUGUAAGUAACUAUGCACGUCUUGACGGUACCUAAUCAGAAAGCCACGGCUAACUACGU
rnacentral:rRNA from 1 species